rnacentral:misc_RNA from 1 species
UAACAAGGUUUCCGUAGGUGAACCUGCGGAAGGAUCAUUACCGAGUGAGGGCCCUCUGGGUCCAACCUCCCACCCGUGUUUAUUUUACCUUGUUGCUUCGGCGGGCCCGCCUUUACUGGCCGCCGGGGGGCUCACGCUCCCGGGCCCGCGCCCGCCGAAGACACCCCCGAACUCUGUCUGAAGAUUGCAGUCUGAGUGAAAACGAAAUUAUUUAAAACUUUCAACAACGGAUCUCUUGGUUCCGGCAUCGAUGAAGAACGCAGCGAAAUGCGAUACGUAAUGUGAAUUGCAAAUUCAGUGAAUCAUCGAGUCUUUGAACGCACAUUGCGCCCCCUGGUAUUCCGGGGGGCAUGCCUGUCCGAGCGUCAUUGCUGCCCUCAAGCCCGGCUUGUGUGUUGGGCCCCGUCCCCCGAUCCCGGGGGACGGGCCCGAAAGGCAGCGGCGGCACCGCGUCCGGUCCUCGAGCGUAUGGGGCUUUGUCACCCGCUCCGUAGGCCCGGCCGGCGCCUGCCGAUCAACCCCAAAUUUUUAAUCCAGGUUGACCUCGGAUCAGGUAGGGAUACCCGCUGAACUUAAGCAUAUCAAUA